AUGGAGAUCAUGCUGGGCCAAAGGCACCUCAGGGAGAGCAACAGCCUGCGGACCGGUCCUCCAGAGUCCCUUCACAGGGUGACUGGGUGCCUCCUGGAGGUUCCCCUGAAAAGACGAACAGGACCUGGGGAGGCUGCAACCAUCUCAAGCUACAUCUCUGCUCAAAUACCUCAGAGCUUUCCCCAAAGCCCCUGCCGAGAAUGUGGGCUGCCUGUCCUUCCCUCUCAAGAGCUAGCUGAGCAGCGGGCCUCCGGCUUUGUCUCUGAGCUCUGUGGCAAAGGCCCCAGGGCGACUACUGAGAUAGGCCCAAACUUUCGGGUGCCCCCACACCCCCUUUGUGGCCAGGGGCUGGAGAGGGCCUUCCUCCGGGGUGCUGCCCCCUUCUUCCUUGUCCUGCCUUGCAUGGGACCCGGGGAAUGCUGUCAGCUGGCCCCCCCUGACCCUCCCUACCCAUACAUGAGGCUACAACAGGGGCCUCCUGGCUGUGUUACGCCUGGGAGGCUGCCCCUUCUUAGCUCAGCUGUCCCAGAGAGCCAUAGCCAGUCUGCCCUCCCCGCAGAGAGUAUCCUGGCCCUCCUCCAGCAGCCCCCUCCACCCCCACCCCAGAGCCCUGAUCCUCAGGCGCACCGAGACUCCCUGAGCCCAAUGAAACCCCAGAAAACCUCACCAGGUGAGGCCCCGGCCUGGGGGGCUGCAGGUCUGCAGGGGAGCCCGCAGGGGCCGGCCAGCCCCCAGCUCCGGCCUGCUUCCUCCCUGCUCGCAGUUGUCCAGCCCGGAGAGCUCCACCUGCCGGAGGAGGAAGUGGAAGCGGAACUGUCGUUCCUGCUGUGCUUCCCCAAGCCUGGCCCGCUGCAGAGAGCCGUGACGGAGGGCAACUACCCGCCCCUCGGGCCCUUCACGGCCAUGUUUGAGAGUGACUUUGUGCAGGUGACCCCAGGCAGGCCGGUGGGCCCGGCUGGGGGAGGACGGGGGAGGGCUGGUCCGGGACACCCAGCAGGCCAGAGUCCCCUGGGUUGCUUCCCUAGAUCAGAGCCCAGACUUUUCGGGAGGAGCACCCCGGGGAGCCUAGUGGAAGUGGAAGGUAAAGGACGCCCCCCUCCCCCCUGCUCCCCUGCUCGCUGGCUCGAGCUCUUCCUGAGGCCUAACCCGGUCCCGAAUCCCCCCAGGGCAGCCCAGCGUCACCAUCUGGACCAUCUUCUCCAGUAUUUCCAGGUCUCCAAACCCGUCCAAGGUACGAGGGAGGCUGGGACUGACGGUCAGGCCAGCUGGGCCCGGCCCAGAGGGCCGGCGUGA
rnacentral:lncRNA from 1 species